UACGUAGGGCGCAAGCGUUAUCCGGAAUUAUUGGGCGUAAAGAGCUCGUAGGCGGUUUGUCGCGUCUGCCGUGAAAGUCCGGGGGCUCAACUCCGGAUCUGCGGUGGGGUACGGGCAGACUAGAGUGAUGUAGGGGAGACUGGAAUUCCUGGUGUAGCGGUGAAAAUGCGCAGAUAUCAGGAGGAACACCGAUGGCGAAGGCAGGUCUCUGGGCAUUAACUGACGCUGAGGAGCGAAAAGCAUGGGGGAG
rnacentral:rRNA from 1 species